AACGGCGAGUGAAGCGGCAAAAGCUCAAAUUUGAAAUCUGGCUCCUUCGGGGCCCGAGUUGUAAUUUGUAGAGGAUGCUUCGGGCGUGGCCGCGGUCUAAGUCCCCUGGAACGGGGCGUCGCAGAGGGUGAGAAUCCCGUCUUCGGCCGGCCGGCUUCGCCCAUGUGAAGCUCCUUCGACGAGUCGAGUUGUUUGGGAAUGCAGCUCUAAAUGGGUGGUAAAUUUCAUCUAAAGCUAAAUACUGGUCGGAGACCGAUAGCGCACAAGUAGAGUGAUCGAAAGAUGAAAAGCACUUUGAAAAGAGAGUUAAACAGCAUGUGAAAUUGUUGAAAGGGAAGCGCUUGCGACCAGAGUCGGCCGCGGGGGUUCAGCGGGCAUUCGUUGCCCGUGCACUCCCCCGUGGCCGGGCCAGCGUCGGUUUCGACGGCCGGUCAAAGGCCCCCGGAAUGUGUCACCCUUCGGGGUGUCUUAUAGCCGGGGGUGCAAUGCGGCCAGUCGGGACCGAGGAACGCGCUUCGGCACGGACGCUGGCUUAAUGGUCGUAAGCGACCCGUCUUGAAACACGGACCAAGGAGUCUAACAUCCACGCGAGUGUUCGGGUGUCAAACCCGUCCGCGCAGUGAAAGCGAACGGAGGUGGGAACCCUUAAGGGUGCACCAUCGACCGAUCCAGAAGUCUUCGGAUGGAUUUGAGUAAGAGCGUGGCUGUUGGGACCCGAAAGAUGGUGAACUAUGCCUGAAUAGGGUGAAGCCAGAGGAAACUCUGGUGGAGGCUCGCAGCGGUUCUGACGUGCAAAUCGAUCGUCAAAUUU
rnacentral:rRNA from 1 species